ACGCGUGAGAAUUCGCCUUUAGGAGGGGGAUAACGGAUGGAAACAUUCGCUAAAACCCCAUGUGCCCUCGGGUGAAAAAGAGAAAGUAAGUCAUACUGAUUUAUCUCUGCCUGAAGAGAAGCUCGCGGCUGAUUAGCUAGUUGGUAGGGUAAAGGCCUACCAAGGCGACGAUCAGUAGCUGGUCUGAGAGGACGAUCAGCCACACUGGAACUGAGACACGGUCCAGACUCCUACGGGAGGCAGCAGUGAGGAAUUUUCUGCAAUGGGCGAAAGCCUGACAGAGCAAUACCGCGUGGGGGAUGAAGACUUACUGAGUUGUAAACCUCGGUACCCUAAGGAAGAAGAUAUGACGGUACUUAGGGUGGAAAGCAUCGGCUAACUCCGUGCCAGCAGCCGCGGUAAGACGGGGGAUGCAAGUGUUAUCCGGAUUUACUGGGCGUAAAGCGUCUGCAGGUGGUUUCUUAAGUCUACUGUUAAAUCUUGAGGCUCAACCUCAAAUCUGCAGUAGAAACUAGGAGACUUGAGUAUAGUAGGGGUAGAGGGAAUUUCCAGUGGAGCGGUGAAAUGCGUAGAUAUUGGAAAGAACACCGAUGGCGAAGGCACUCUACUGGGCUAUUACUGACACUCAGAGACGAAAGCUAGGGGAGCAAAUGGGAUAAC
rnacentral:rRNA from 1 species